AUACGGAGGGUGCAAGCGUUAUCCGGAUUUAUUGGGUUUAAAGGGUGCGCAGGCGGAUAAUUAAGUCAGUGGUGAAAUCCUCCCGCUCAACGGGAGAACUGCCAUUGAUACUGAUGAUCUGGAAUACGGUUGAAGUGGGCGGAAUGUAGCAUGUAGCGGUGAAAUGCAUAGAGAUGCUACAGAACACCGAUCGCGAAGGCAGCUCACUAAGCCGAUAUUGACGCUCAGGCACGAAAGCGUGGGUAGCGAACAGGAUUAGAAACUCUAGUAGUCC
rnacentral:rRNA from 1 species